UGGGGAUGACGUCAAGUCAUCAUGGCCCUUACGGCCUGGGCUACACACGUGCUACAAUGGUCGGUACAAAGGGUUGCCAAGCCGCGAGGUGGAGCUAAUCCCAUAAAACCGAUCGUAGUCCGGAUCGCAGUCUGCAACUCGACUGCGUGAAGUCGGAAUCGCUAGUAAUCGUGAAAUCAGAAUGUCACGGUGAAUACGUUCCCGGGCCUU
rnacentral:rRNA from 1 species